UUUAAUAUAAUCAUCAGUUGGUAGAGCAUGAGACUCUUAACCUCAGGGUUGGUUGUGGGUUCGAGUCCCAUGCUGGGCAAAA